UCCCACUCCAACAAAUAAAAGAAUAUAAAUACUCCUCCCAAAAUUACCCGAGCUAGUCUGCAGUCUGUAUAAGUGCAAACUACCCUGAACUGUAAAGUCUAUCGUUGCGAACCACGAACGUUAUAUCAUUCAUUUUAUUGUACAAUUGUGUGGAAAUAAAGAGUUCGAUCUCCUGUUUUGAGAUCGACAUCUUUUCUGUAAUUCGUUGAAUUAUUACGCGACAAUGGCAACGGCGCACGUGUGACAUUAAUCACAUUUCAACCUACAUCAGAGAUAAGACAUCGACCCCCGACCUUGGGAACCUUCUCCACGUCAUAACCUACACCGAGCCUCUCAACAUCCUCAAACCAAAACGCAUAUAAGCCGAGAUUUCAGCCAGCUCGGGCAAUUCUUGUUCUAGUUCCUGUUCUUGUACAGCCCCUUUCUCCGGUUCAGUGUCAUUCUAUUUCUUUUUACGUGACACACGCAGCACACAGCAGCGAGAUGACAACGAAAUAAUGUGACUAGUAGAUAGCGGUUGUACCGAUCACAUAAUUAACAAUCUGUAGCGGUCAAAGAGAAUGGAACAUAUGGAAUGAAAAGUAUAUUGAAAAGGAUGAAGCCGCACGUAGUAGUAUGAGUAAAAAGGAAAGAUAGUGUCACACGUUCAAGAGGGCCACCCGCUCCGAAAUAGUAAUCAAGUAGACGAAAACAUCCUGCAUGCCAUAGCUAUCGAAACAAUAACAAAACAGUGACUGAAUAACCGUCUCUGAUAUACAUCCGACGAUAACCCCUCCAAAGGGACUAAAACCUCACUAUAAAAACCCUCCAAAAUUAGCGCUCGAUACCUCAUUCUGUUAUAAUUCUUCACUCUGUUGGAUUUAUACAAUAAAAUUUCCAUCAUCUUAUACGAAGUUCAAUUCCUUCACCUUAUUCGUGAAACGUUCGAACUGCGACGCGAGAUCACCGGCGAUCUAUCGGUUUAGUGAUUUCUCGUGUCCCCGACGUGACAAUAGCAUAGGAUGCUAGGACAUGUAAAUUUUAGAUACUUAAAUAUUUUGGGUAAAGAGCAGCUAGUGACAGAUAUACCGAAUAAAUUUGAAAAGGAUUUGUUGAAAUGUAGGAUGUGUAUAGAAAGUAAAAAGCAUUUACCUUUCAAAAAUAAUCGAACUAAGGCUAGGAAGAUAAUGGGAAUUAUUCAUACGGGCGUGUGCGGUCCCUUUAAGACUACCGGAUUAGAUGGAGAGAAAUAUUUUAUUUCAUUUAUCGAUGAUUAUAGUAAAGUAGCUAGGAUCUAUUGUAUAAAAUCAAAAGAUGAGGU